AGAGGGGGGAGGGACAAAUGGCAGUUGAGUUUGAUAGACAAGUCACCAUCCAAACAUCUUGAAUGUGACGCUCAUGAUUGGAUGGAGUUUUUUCAGUCCUGCCCAUCCCACAGAUUUUUUCGGUGAGGGUCAAGACCUGUGAAAAAGAGGACACCUACAGAGGACCAGGAGUCUGAUACAUCACAGCCAGAAGAAAGAAAGAAAAACGAUUCAUCAAGAAAGAAGAGGAAGAUGUGGAGCAAAGAAGAAGUCCAAGCUGUGGAACAGGAGCUGAUGCACAGCAUUAAGACUGGCAAGGUUCCUGGUAAAGCACAGUGUCUUGAAUGUAUCCGUGCAUUUCCAGAGGCACUUAAAGGUAGGACCUGGGAUGCUGUCAAGUACUACGUGAAAAACAGAAUAGACGCUUGGAAGCGGCAGUCAAUGUCACACUAACUGCAAGUUGUUCUUGCUCUUUUGUGUUCGAAAGAGGCAGUUCUAACAGUGACCAUCGUUUGAUCUGAGUCAUAAUUUUUUAUUUAUUUUAAGAGGUACAAUUUGUAUCGGUUGUGCUAAAUUUAAAAAUGUUAUUACCAC
ensembl:lncRNA